rnacentral:rRNA from 1 species
AUUGAACGCUGGCGGCAGGCCUAACACAUGCAAGUCGAACGCGUGGCGCACGGGAGAGAAAUGUCUGGGAAACUGACUGAUGGAGGGGGAUCACUACUGGAAGCGGUCGAAAACAGAGCAAACAAACGGAUGUGCCCAGAUGGGAUUAGAUAGUAGGUGGGGUAACGGCUCACCUAGGCGACGAGCCCUAGCUGGUCUGAGAGGAUGAAAAGCCACACUUGAACUGAGACACGGUCCAGACUCAUACGGAAGGCAGCGGUGUGGAAGAUUGCACAAUGGGAGCGAGCCUGAUGCAGCCAUGCCGCGGUUAGGAAGAAGGCCUUCGGGUUGUAAAGUACUGUCAGCGGGGAGGCGUUAUCCGCAGAAGAAGCACCGGCUAACGCCGUGCCAGCAGCCGCGGUAAUAC